ensembl:lncRNA
CAGACAGCAGACGGCUGCAUUCAAGUCUGUAGCUGCUGAAUUCAUGGAUGAAUCAUCUGGCACUAGAGAGGAAGACCAUCAAACAUCCACGUCAGCUGAUGGAGGUCCAAGAGUCUCACCCAACAAACAACCUACAGAGUGAAGACCUCCAAUCUGAUUGGACGGCCUCCUAUUCAGCCACAUUUUAGGCUGUUAGAUUGUUCCAGAUAAGACAAGUACAAGAUUCUUCAGAGCCGUUCUACCACGAGCCUGACAGGAAGAACUCCAACAGCUACUGAAUGUUCCUGUGGUUCCCUCAAGGCUACAGGAGGAGUCCUACGAGGACGAGCCGGUCCACCUGAUGGAGGCCAGUCGCUGCGGUUCAAAGCCAACACCGACUACGUGGACUUCUACUGGACCACACGGAGGCCUUCAAACCGGACCAACAAGUUCAGCGACUCCCCGACUCGUGGGUCUGAGGACGCCGCCGAGCCUCGGUCCAGCCGGCCUCCUGUCUGUGGGUGUUUGAGUGCUGAGAGGUUUGUGGAUGCAUGUGAACGUUCUGUGUUGAAACAGCAGCUUUGGACUCAGUAACGCCGGGAAAAACCAAGAGCUCCUUUA